rnacentral:lncRNA from 1 species
AAUAAACUCUGAUAUAAGGGAGGAGAUCUGCCUCGGGUGAAUCCAUGAGCAGCUAUCGAUAGGGAUUCAGCUUGUUAUUUCUCUUUAUAGUCGCUGUUUAUCUUGUGCCAGAAAAUCAGAUGUCAUUUUUUUCUUCCUUGAGUGUUUCUUCGGGGUUUACAGUGUUAGAAUGGCAUGGUCACUGGGAUGUGUCAUUCCUUUGCUCCAUUGUCACAGCUUGUAGCUAAUGUCUGUUGUUGCAUCUUUAUCAUGUUACUGGUGUUCAUCCUGUUGGUUAUACAUGUGGCUUCAGAUACUAAGAUUAUCUUAGCAAUCUACAUAUUCUGCAAUUCAGCAUUUCUUUGCGUGUGAAUACUGAAUAUAAUUUGUUGUGAAAUCUGCUUCUGAGACGAAUGCAAUUGGGACAUGGCUGUUGUGUAAACUCAAUAUUUCUUCGCCAGGAAAAAACGUGUGGUUCCUUUAAGAAGGAAAAAAAACUCAUGGUAUCCUAUAUAUCAUAGCAGUGCAGUUAAUUGAGCACAUAAUCUCUAUGCAGUUUAUAUUUUUGAGGCGUUUUAGGCAUAUUUAUACCACUCUUGCCCAAACUUUGGCUGGCUUGUGCUCUUUAGUGCUUGGGCUGUAGGUCACUGUGGUUAUUAGCUGACCAGGACUCUCAUUAUUGACUCUGUCAGGUUUUGGUGUUUCUACUUGAGUUUGUUCCCUCAUUGCAAGGUUGACUCCACCAUGCCUUGUCUUAACAUAUUUGUGUUUUUGAGGGUGAAAGCUGACGGAGCUGAGAUUGAGAUUGAGAUACCAAAGGUCAAUCGGCAAGAUGCAUGCUUCAAGUAGCUAUUAUCACUGGAACUUGGUAGUAUCUGGGAACACUCCAGGUAAGGAUUUUGUAUUCAGUGAUCUCUCUAACUCUUGAUGAAUGAGCACAAUGGUAGAGAUUGAAGGAAGAGAUCCAACAACUGACAGGGUCAGUUUCUUCCUGCAAUGUGUUCUCAUGCAAGUUCCAAGUCAGAUAUUUUUUCCUGGAACAAUGCUCUGAUAACUAAAUCGGUGCAGGGAACUCAAAGCCAUCUCCUUUGGUGUUUGCAUUCACCUGAAUUCUCAAAUUUAUCCCGGAUCUCUCGCAUUUUAAGGUGUGUAUUAUGGAGGCGCACUCGCGUGGAUGUGUCCGUGGCCGUGUGACACACGUACGUGAUACAUGCCAAAAUGUCGCCGAGGUGUCGGUGGACCUUGAUGAUGAAGAUGGUUCUGCCAAAGAGGUCAGUAUCCAGAUAUGUGACUCUGAGUGAUCAGCUGGCUGGUUGUCCCAUCGAAAAUGAGGUACACGUUUGCUUUGCGCUAUCAGCACGUCUCGUUUUCAGGCCUUUGUCCAGAAUAUUCCAGUACAAUGCAUUUGUUUUUGCUUCAGUCUUUUGCUUUUUCCUGGAUUCCAGUUUCAUUGGUAUGCUGCGCGCAGACUGUGAGGUUUUGGUGUAGUUAUUAUGAUUGUGCGUGUCGUCCAUUCAUUCACGGUUGAUUUACCUCACGGUUGAUUUACCACACAUUGUCUCACACUUUUGUUUGUUUCAUUUAUAUGACAAGUGAGGCGAGAGGUUGAUGAGGCUGUGAUUGAGAAACCAGAGGUCAAUCCGUGAUAAGAUCUAUGCUUGAAGUAGUUAUUAUAACUGGAAACAUGGCAUCUGGGAACAGACACUCACUCAGGUAAGCAGACGGUAGUAUUCAGUAACCUCCCUUCUGAAUUCACUUGGAAAAAACAAACCUCACUUCAGGUUGAAAGGUUGCGGAUUGCUCCUGAGAAACGAUCCUGGGUUGGCGCAUGGGAACUGAAAACCACGGGAUUCAAAUCUUGGUGCUCGCUUUUACCUGAAUCUACCUCAGAUCCUUUGCUAGUAGGGGACAUACUCGUGUGGCGUGCCUCAGGCGUUCUAGUACAUGCCAAGAUUCCACCAAGUUACCGGUGAAUGAUUGGUACGGACAUCUGCCUUGAUGACGAUUCGACCAAGAGGCUGGCUGGUAAUGCUAAGCAAUCGAUGGCCAGAUAGCCGGUUGUUCCAUCAAAAAACGCGAACAUGCUUGCUUGGCGACAUUGAGGUGUCAUUUCCACCGUUCGUCGUACGCCCUUGUCCACGAUAUUCCAAACCAUCCCUAUUUUGUUUCCUUUGUUCUUCUUGUGAAAUGGAUGUUUGAGCUGUCAAAUGUGAUGAGGGAGAAGAUCCGCCUUGGGUGAAUCCAUGAGCAGCUAUCGAUAGGAUUCAGCUUGUUGUUUCUCUUUAUAGUUGCUAUUUAUCUUAUGCCAGAAAAUCAGAUGUCAUUUAUUUCUUCCUUGAGCAUUUCUUUGGGGUUUACAGUGUUACAAUGGCAUGGUCACUGGGACGUGUCAUUCCUUUGCUCCAUUGUCACAGCUUUGUAGCCAAUGUCUGUUGUUGCAUCUUUAUCAUGUUACUGGUGUUCAUCCUGUUGGUUAUACAUGUGGCUUCAGUUACUAAGAUUAUUUUAGCAAUCUACUCCCUCUGUAAACUUUUAUAAGACGUUUUAGGUCACUUAGUGCCCAUAGAGGGAGUACAUAUUAGCCAAUUCAGCAUUUCUUUGCUUGUGUAAUUUGUUGUGAAAUCUGCUUCUGAGAUGAAUGCAAUUGGGACAUGGCUGUUGUGUAAACUUGGACAAACGGACAAUUUAACCCCAUUUCCUUGUAUUCCUGGGUAGUCAGCUCAAUCAACUCACUAUUUCGGUGGCGGGGAGGGGAGAGCGCCUACCGCCUAUCCAACGCCCGGGUUUGCAGUGUUUUUUUCUUUUUUCGAAACGAAGGCAAAAGCUAAGAAGGGUAACAGAAGUUUAUGACGAGGUCAUUACUCCUCAACAAAUGAGACUAAAGCCUACUCUCGCGGCAUAAUAGAGCCCAGGUGCCUAGCACCGGCGGUCACCCAUAACUUAGCCUCGUUCCGAACAUGCGCGAAGACGAUGGAAGGCAGUGUAGACUUCUUGCGAAAAACCCGUGCAUUCCUCUCGUUCCACAGUGCCCACGCCACAAGCAUGAGUGUGGUGGCAAUAGCUUUCUUCCUGUGACCAUGAGUAAGCACCACGGCAUACCACCAAUCUUGCACCGAAGGCAGGCCACCCCAUUGGUCAAGACGCAACUCCUACGCACCCAGCCACGUCUUUACGGCCUCCCACACACGGAUGGAGUACCUACACUUGAAGAGAAGGUGCGCCCUAGACUCCGGCUCCCUUUGACACAGCUGGCAUAGGCCACAGUUUGGCCAACCCCUCUUCUGCAAUCGAUCCGCGGUCCAAAUCCUAUUCUUGAUGACAAGCCAAGCAAAAAACUUGCACUUGGGCGGCGCCCAGUUAUCCCAGACCGCGGGCUUCAUGCGUGUGGUGAUGGCUCCCUCAAAUUGCGUGAGAUAGGCAGAAGCAGCGGAGUAAGAGCCAUUUGGCGUGCGAUCCCAAACGAUGGUGUCUGGAGUGUCAUGUUGCAAGAGAACAAUAUCAAGCCUCGCCCAAAGUGUGCAGAAUUGGUGGAUGUGGUUGACCGUGAGCCCUUGAGACAUUCAAUUCUCGAGAGCCAAGCAUUGUCCAGGAGUGCAUCCCGCACCGAAGAAUUCUUUCUUGCCGAGAUCUGAAACACGAGAGGAGCGAUAUCCUUGGGUUUUUCGCCACUGAGCCAAGGGGAUAGCCAGAACCUUGCCAACAGACCGUUGCCCACAGUAAUUGUGGUGACGUCGUAGAAAAGCUCCAUGUCCUUGGCAUCCCAAGGCUUGCUCAAAUCGACCCAAGCUCUGUCCGGCUCCGUCCACUCGUACUUGCAGUGUGUUUGUUUCUCAUGCAAGUUGCAACUGUGAUAAUAAUCAUCAGGCUUCUUCGAAUUGUUCCGAGUCUGAUUUUGCUUAUAAGCUUUUAAAUAACUAAACGGGUGCAGGGAGCUCAAAUCCAUCUCUUUUGUUGUUUGCAUUCAUGCGAAUUCUGGAAUUUAUCUCUCAUCUCUCGCAGUUUAGGUGUGCAUUAUUCCCGUACGUGAAUGCCAAAAUGUCACCGAGGUGUCGGUGGACCUUGAUGCUGACGACGACUCUGCCAAGAGGUCGGUGUCCAGAUCUGUGAAUGAUCAGUACGCCGAUUGUCCCAUCCAAACGUGGUACGCGUUGCCAUGCAUGCUCGUUUUCAGGUCUUUGUCCAGAAUAUUCCGUACCAGGCACUUUGUUGCGAAAUUGAUGUGGUAAAUGUCAGAUCACGGACGCAUCGGAAACACAUGGGAUCAUCAUACUCCAAGACUCGUACUUCUUUGUUCCUUUGUUUUUUCUUGAAUUCCAAUUUCAUUGGUAUUGCUGUGCGCGGUCCCUUAGACAGGGUUCGUGAAAAAAUAGAAGAAAAUGGCCUGGUUAAUUAACGAAAAUCCAGAUGAAAAUUGUUAGAACACGACCAAAAGUGAGGGCACCUGCUGACCUGCAAAGUCAUCAUCAUCAUUUCUCAUUGAGCAAACAACUUCGACUUCACGGCGGACGACCCAUGAAGACCUCUCUAAACAAAUGGCACACGAGAACCAAGUCAGCCUAUGCCAAAUAGCCGGCCAAACGCGCCGAGGAUUAGGCAGCUCCGAGUUUGGUCGUAGACUCACAAAAGAAAGAAGCACGCCUUGCCCUAACAUAGCCACAUCUGCCCAUCAUCCCUCCGCAUCGGCCCACAAAGCUACAACUCCGACUUCACGCUGAAGUACACAUCGAAUGGUCGAUGUCAAAGGACUUCCUGUGACUCUGCUACUCAUGCCACCAUUAUUGUUCCCACACAAGUAGCAACUCCACCAGGAGCGAGGCAGCUACCCCGCUACCCGCACUCGCAUCAUCGGCCGGGAACCUGCCGACCGCAAUGACGUGCGCAUCCAACCUCAGGAAAGUAUGAAGGGGAUUGAUGACCUUCAAGGCGAUGCCCCCAAGGGGUUAGCGACGUGGGAAAUGACACCGUCAUCCAACUCACACCGGAGUCUUAGGCCUUGUACAAUACAAGGUGCUUCGUAAAAUAAACCAUGUUUCCUUGAGAAUUCGUGCUUACUCUAUAGGAGGGGUGCCUACUUAAUCGUCUACCCUCUACAAAUAAGCACGAGUGCUUAAAAAAAGUGAUUUAUUUCUCUAAGCACCUUGCAUUGCACCGUGAUGAAUUCCCCCUCUGACAGAGUCUGGAAAAGACCUCCGGAUUGGAUCGUCAAACAGAGAGGCGUGGCCCCAGAAAAAUUAGGGUUAAUAUUCCGAAGUAUUUUCAGUAGUAUAUAGAAGCGUAGGCGUUGAAAGGAAAUGGAUGGAAGAUCCAGGGGCCCCAUGCGGCCCCACCAUGUGUCCCUGGGCGUGUGGUGGGGGUUGUGCCCCCCGGGUUGCUUCUUGUGCCUCUAAAAGCUUCCCAACCAAAAAAAGCUUUUGGGAUUUUUUUAGAUCUUUUGGAGCCCCGUAAAAUUGUUUUUCCCGGAAGUCCAAAAAUAUGCAGAAAACAAUAAUUGACAUUGGGCAUAAUAGGUUAGUCCAGAAAAAUAAUAAAAAUUUAUGUCAAAAUUCAAAACUAUGCCAAAAUGAUAUAAAUAUAGCAUGAAACAAACAAAAAUUAAAGAUACAUUUGUGAUGUAUCACACGUGUCCCCUUGGACUUGAAGAACAUGCGGUUCUCAGCGAGAAGUUGCGGAUCGUCCUUGACGAGCUUCCCCACCUAGGUGACAUUAUAGCGCUUGGCUUUGCAGUGCUCCUUCUCCUUGGCUAGGGAGACUACCCUAAUGGGAAGCGUGAGGAAGUCCGCGAUCAGGGUGUCGGUGGGGAAGUUGAGCCUCACCCGUGUCCCGUAGUAGCGGAGCAUCACAUCGUCGUACGAGCGUGCCGCCUCCUCCCUGAUGACAAACGUGCCAAUCCAGGCAAAUUUGACAAAUUUGACCUAUAGUCGAAAUCAAAUCACAGAAUGAACUGUCCGUGAAACUAUUUCACGCGGUUGACCCUUGGUGCCUAACUCUCAAGCGCUGCACUAGUGCAACGCCCAGGAGCUAGGCGCUGCACUAGUGCAACGCCCAGGAGCCAGGCGCUACACUGUGUAGUGUGGCGCCUAGCUCUCAGGCGCUGCACGCUGACUUGGGCACAUAUGGGUGCGACGCUGGCCGUGUAGCGCCUAUCUGUGAGGCGUUGCACAGUAGGGUGUGGCGCCGGCGUGGCGGACGCUACACAAAAGGGUCAGGGGAGUGAAAUAGUUUCGCAACCAGUUCAUUCUGUGAAAUGAUUUCGUCCUGAGGUCAAAAUUAUCAAAUUUGCCGCCAAUCCACUAGCGCUUUCCCAUGUCCGGGUUGAGGAUCUCCGCCACCCACCCGCCCCACAACCACUGCCUCGUACGAUGGUACCUCAGCGGUGGCGAUGGCGGCUGCGACAUGCCCAAUGGCAGGGAGCUCGCAAGGAAGAACUAUAAAAAAGUAUAUAAAUUUUAAAAUCAAAUGAAAAAAAUUAGCACGACCAUUGCUAACAAUUGGACAGAUAUUGAGUGCCAGAAAUUUGACGAAACAUAGAUGAAUCUACCUUUCACCAAAAUGUUGGCACUUAUUUUGAACCCCUAAAAUGUUUGAAAACAUGCACAACACAAAUUCAUUGCGAGCAAUACAAGGUUGGCUCGGCUCAAUGGUCAAAAUAUCACAAUUCAUUUGUUGUCUGUAUUGAUAGUGUAUUUGCCGAAAAACUAAAGGUAAACAUGGUUCCACGCGCACCCAUGUGAAUAGUAAAUUCAAAAAAUUACUAGGAAAAUUUAGAAAAUUCUAAAAUUUUGGGGAAUAAAACUUGGUCGUCCAUUCUAUUCAUGUGUGAAGUUUCGUGAAGUAUUGACACCGGUGGUAUUCUUAGUGAAGAAAAUACAAUUUGAAGUUUACUAUUCACCAAACAUUGUUUUUUAAAUAUAAUUCCGAUUUUGUCAUUUUUGCCCAGAAUACCAAGGGUGUCAUUUAUUCAUGAAACUUCAUAUGUGAGUAUACCGGAUGACAAUGUAUGUUACAAUUUUUUUCUAGUAUUUUUUUUGAAUUUAGUAUUCAUAAAGGGUGCACAUGGAAUCGUGUUCAAAAAAUCUGCGUCCGUGUAUUCGCUAAUUGUCAAGUUUAUAUUUGUAAAAGUCAACAUAGUAGUGUAGGAAGAGAAAUGACAUCUGUUCUGAAAAAACAAUGAAUCCCCUGCUGUAGAUAAUUUGUAUGGACUAAAGUAGCAAUCAAUAAAAGCAUAGACAUUACUUUUGUGCUAUUAAUUAUUGUAUGAACAAGGUCUAAAAAUAUAUUAACUAAAGUGCCUAGUUUGAAAGAGUUGUUGAUAACCCUAUGUGGGAAUGAAUUCUAUUUUCAUCCUCGAAGUAGAGGUAAACCUUUAAAGUUAUGGUGUGCCCCUAUAGAUAUCAACACCCACAUCGAAUCACCACCAACCGAACACCGAAUUCCAUCAAGCGUAGACCUGUUUUGUUAGAAAUCACACCAUCGAUAUCUAUUCCAUCAAAGCAUAUCCUAGCAUUUGCUAGGUUCGAAAUAAUACUAAAAUUUAAUAAUAAUGUAUAAAUGAAUUCGUAGGCUUUGCGCUAGAAGUGGCCGGCGGUCAAAUUGUCAUCUCCGACACCGACGACGACAGGUGGCGCGGCGCACAUGCUAGGUUGGGUGGCAGCGGACAUGUUGCACGCGGUUCAUGUGAGGUGAAGGGAGGGGAGGGUGACGAAAGAGCAGGAGGGUGGUGAUGGCGACAAUCAGUGAGGGCACUGGGACGGUGAAAGGCGAUGGAAGGCAUUUGGCUAGCUACGUAUUUGUGGAAUUUGGCGAAGUCCCAUGUGUGGCCGAAUUGUUAAGGGUAAUGAAAAAUUUACGUAUUUGUGGAUGCCAUUUACACAAAAUUUACCCUAGGUUAUGUUUUGAACAACUUUUUUUCCUGGGGUAAAUUUAUCGUGGUGUUUGUACCUACGUUAUCAUGUCUGUGGUGCAUAUAUUACCAUGCCUUUUACACAGAAAGUUGAUGCGGUAUGUUUUCAACAUCUUUUUUCCCUUGGGCAAAGUUAAUGUGGUGUUUGUACAUAAUUUAUUAGCUCGUUGGUGCGUAUAUUAUCGUUCUAUUUACACAAUAGUCAGCAGGGUAUGUUUUCAACAACUUUUUCCCCUGGUCAAUGUUACCACGUUGUUGUACGUAAGUUACCAGUUCAACCUGCAUGUAUUAUCAUGCUAUUUACAUAGAAAGUUGUCAAUGGUAUGUUUUCAAUAACUUUUUUCCCUUGGGUCAAAGUUAUGCGGUGUUUUUAUGUAAGUUAUCAGGUUUGUAGUUCGUAUAUUACCAUUCUAUUUACACAGAAGUUAUUGGGGGUUUAUUUUCGAUAACUUUUUCCUAAGUCAAUAACUUUUCCAUUCCAGAUCUAGACAAAGCUGGCGGGGGGCUUGAACAACAGGGUGGUGGUGCUGGUCGGAUUGGGAGGAGCUAGAGCAAGAGAUCACCAUAGCUCCUUGUUUGGGCGCUCAGGAGGGAGGAGAUGAACUAGAAGAGAUGUAGGGGUAGGUCGAAGUGGUGGACUAGGGAGAGAGCUUCGGCGGGCAGAGCUCUAGUGGACGGUGCAAUAUGUGGCUUUGUGCCAGAGCAAAGAGGAAGGAGUGGCGUCGGAGCUCAAGCCAUGGUGGCCGUAGCAAUGUGCAUGUCAACUGUUAUGCUAGAUUGUGCACUGUUUUGUCUUGGAUCAUAGCAAUGUGCAUGUCAAUGGUUAUGUUGGAUUGUACACUGCUUUGUCUUGGAUCAUAGCAAUGUGCAUGUUAAUGAUUAUACUAGAUUUUGUAGUGCCUAUGUCUUUGCAUGUCCAUGACUGUGCAAUGCCUUUGUGUUAGAUCAUGCUAAUGUGCAAUGUCCAUGUUUAUGAUUCAAUUAUGUGUUGCCUAUGUCUUUGCAUUCCCAUGUUGUGCUUGAUUCCGCACUUACUUGAUUGAUUGUGCAAUGGUAUCCAUCAACUGGCUUCCAAGACAUGCUCCCGCCGAAUCGGUUGGCACUGAAGCCUGUAGUGCCGGGGAGGAGGGAGCUGGCGGCGGCGCCUCUACACACGCAUGGCCAUCGACCCAAGCUCGACUACAAGGCGAGAGAACCAGUGCCACACCGGUUUUAUGUCCAGAUGGACAUGGACGACAUGGCAAUGCUUAUCAUCUCGACGGCUUUCUAAAGGCUCCUCAAGACCUGGCCGAACACCUUGCUACCUCUUGAGCAUGCGUUGGUUUGCCCCUGAAGAGGAAAGGGUGAUGCAGCAAAGUAGCGUAAGUAUUUCCCUCAGUUUUUGAGAACCAAGGUAUCAAUCCAGUAGGAGACUACACGCAAGUCCCUCGUACCUGCACAAACAAUUAAGAACCUUGCAACCAACGCGAUAAAGGGGUUGUCAAUCCCUUCACGGCCACUUGCAAAAGUGAGAUCUGAUAAAGAUAAUAAGAUAAAUAUUUUUGGUAUUUUUGUUGUAUAGAUUAAAAAGUAAAGAUUCCAAAAUAAACGGCGGCAGAAAUAGCACAUUAGCGGGAGAUUAAUAUGAUGGAAAAUAGACCCGGGGGCCAUAGGUUUCACUAGUGGCUUCUCUCAAGAUGGCAAAUUCUACGGUGGGUGAACAAAUUACUGUCGAGCAAUUAAUAGAAAAGCGCAUAAUUAUGAGAAUAUCUAGGCAUGAUCAUGUAUAUAGGCAUCACGUCCGUGACAAGUAGACCACUACAAAAAAAAAAAGACACAUCCGUGACAUUUUGGGCCGAACGAUUUUUUUUCUAUCAUACUUAUGACACUUCUAUGAAGAUAAUUGUGACAAAACCCGGUAUCAUCAUAGAUGUGGUGGGGUCCUACUUCUAUGACAAAAAAUCAUGACAGAAAAUGGGCUUUUCGUUCUGGGCGGGCCGGAGACGCAGCUGCAUGACAUUCUUUGGGCCAUCCAUGACGGAAAAAACCGUGGUAGAAGCGAGGGUGAGGAAAAUAUCAGGGUGUUCCUGGUUACGGUGGGUGGUCGGGGCCGAGCGAUGCGCGUUUGUCUCAUACACGCACGCGCGUGGGUGCGUGGCGUUGGGCUCUAACUGAACCCGAGCAAGGCGUUGGGCUCUAACUGAACCCGAGCGAUUGCACUGCAGGCUAGGCGUUACUGAACUCGAGCGAUCGAUCGAUGGCUGUUAACUGAACCCGAUCGAGCGAUUCCUUCGCUACUGCAGCUAACUGAAGCCGAUCGAUGCUGCCUCUGGAUGAACAGUGAGCGUUGCUGGGGGGGUUUGGAUGAACAGUUCCCGGUGGGGGUAGAUGAACAGGACCCCGUGGUAUUGCCUCUGGAUGAACAGGACCCCGAUCGAUCAAGCCGGUUGGGGCUGGAUGAACAGGACCCCGUGGAGGGCUGGAUGAACAGUAGAUGGUGGGGGGCUGGAUGACCAGUAGCCCGUGGAGGGGUGGUUGAACAGGAGCCUGUGGAGAGGGUUGGUUGAACAGUAGCCGGCGGAGUAGCGCACGGUGGAGGCUGGAUGAACAGUCGCAGGUGGAGGCUGGAGGAGGUCGACGGUGGAUGAACAGUAGCCCGUGGAGGCUGGAGGGGGUCGACUGUGGAGAUGAACAGUAUCCCGUGGAGUCCCGUUUUGCGAUACGCCACACCCCUCCCGAUGAAUAGGACCCCCGUUUCGAUCGUAGCGCUCCAACACAAGUCAGUUUCCUCCGUUUUGCGGUACGCCACACCCCUCCCGGUCAACAGGACCCCCGUUUCGACCGUAGGAGGUCCGUUUCCUCCGUUUUGCGGUAUGGCAGACCCCUCCCGAUGAACAGGAUCUCGUUUCGACCGUGGCCGGUCGAACACAAGGCUGUUUCCUCCGUUCUGCGGUAUGCCAGGCCUCAUUUCCAUCGGCUGUUCCGUCCAAGCCCUCCUGAUGAACACGACGACGCAUUCUGUUCCGACCCAGCCGGUUGGCUCCCCAUGAACACGACGACAACGCAGUUUCUUCGUUCCGACCCAGCCAUGUACACGAGCCCUGGCCAUACGUAUGCGCGAGUAGGCGUUCGAGACCCUACCCGUAUGUAUGUACGUGGCCGUAUUUUCUUUCUUGCACACUGGCCGUUGUACGUACGUGUACAUGCUACGUGCGUGCCUCUACUACGACACUUGCGCGCCUCUACAUCGACCAGUAUGUACGUACACGUUCGCGACCAGAAUGACAACGCUACGUACGCUUCGACCAGGUGGGUCCCGACUGUCAGGCACUUCCUUGCGUGCGAAGAUGUAGCUGGUGGGUCCCAGCAGUCAGGGGGUGAAUCGUUUUUUUGCCCAGACACACUUCUUUGCGUGCGAAGAUGUAGCUGGUGGGUCCUAGCAGUCAGGGGGAAACUUUUUUUUUCGCGAAAUACGGUGGCCCGUCCGGUGGGUCCCCGCUGUCAGGUGGAGGAAUAAUUAUUUUGCGCGUAAUAAGGAGGCACUUCCUUGCUGCGGCCGUGGACCUAGCUGUCAGCCUCUCCACGUACAGUACUCUUCCGAUGGAAGUCGGUCAUUGACCACAUUGACCACGCCGCACCGAGAGCACCAAGGCGGUGGACGACGGCGAGGCCUAGGAAGGGGACGACGCGGAGCCAGGGAAGACGCGGCUGUGGAUGCCCACGCAUAGAGGAGUACGAGGGUUCACUGGUUCGGCUGCGGUGUGAGGCUGCCGUCGCCGCAGAAUAACAGAGGGUGUGGGUGAGUAGAGGGAUGGCCUGGCCAGCGGUGGGAGUAGUAGGGGGCGGUGAGGCCUCCGCGGCAUCGCAGCCGGCCAUGGGAGGCAGGAGCACGAGGCACGACAGACGCUGGUUUGGGCGGCCGGAGCAAGAAGACCAGAGGUUGAAGAAGCACUACGGCCGUUGGAUGGACAUCGUACGAUCACUGGAGCUAUAAUCGUGCAUAUUGACUAAGUUGACAAAGCCCUCCGUCCCCGUCAACUUAGUAGGCCCACAAGUCAGCCUCCCACUAUAAUGGGUCCCAGCUAGCAGGGGGAGUAUUCAUUUUUUUGUGCGUAAUAAGGAGGCACUUCCUUGCGUGCGAAGAUAUAGCUGGUGGGUCCGAGCUGUCAGUGGCGGUAACGUUUUUUUCGUGAAAUACAGAGGCCCUUUCGGUGGGUCCCAGAUGUCAGGUGGAGGAAUCAUUAUUUUGCGUGUAAUAAGGAGGCAUUUCCUUGCGUGCGGCCGUGGACCCAGCUGUCGGCCUCUCCACGUACAGUCCACAUCAGAUGCAUGUCGGUCGUUGACCACGUUGACCAUGCCGCGCCGAGAGCACCAGGGCGGUGGACGACGGUGAGGCCUAGGAAGGGAACGACACGGAGCCAGGGAAGACUCGACAGUUGUUUCCCACGCGGAGGGGAGUAUGACUGUACGAGGGUUUACUGGUUCGUCUGCCGUCGCCGGAGAAUAACAGCAGGUGUGGGUGAGUAGAGGGAUGGCUAGGCCAGCGAUGGGAGUAUGGUGGGGCGGUGAGGCCUGCGCGGCAGCACAGCCGGCCGCGGGGAGGAGGGAGCAGGCAGUCCCGCCGGCGCUUGUUUGAGCGGCUGGAGCAGGAAGAGCAGAGAUUAAAGAAGCACGACGGCCGUUGGAUGGACAUCCAACAGUCACUGCUUGUGCGUCAACCUUUUUUUAGGAAAGCCUCAAAUCUGUGGAAAACAGCAUACAACCCAUCUGCCAUUAUUUCUAAUAAUUUACAGCCCAUUUGCUAAUUCUUAAGGUUUUUUUGGAGCCCAUAUUCUUUUUGUUAGCAUUACAGCCCAUAUUGUAGCCACGGUUAAAAAAUUAUACGAAAUUUUGCAUAUUUCGGUGCGGUCCGAACUGUUUUUAAUCCCGAAAUUUCGAGUCACGUUCAAACUGAUUUUAAAAAUAAAUAUAUAUCAAUAUAAAAUCCAACAAAUUGUCCACGCAUAAAAAUCAAUGCAAUUUAAAAUCUCGAAAUGAAAAAAGAAAUUUGAAACUAAUUGCCGGUUUGAUGUGUUUUAAAAACGUACAACCCAUUUCUCAUUACUGAUAGGCCAUUUUCUCGGCCAGCCGAAUGAAGGCCAGUUCUUUUGAUGGCUUCUAGAAUAACCUGCACCCUACCUAGUUUAUUCUAGAAGCCCAACCAAAUUUAUUUUUUUAGAAGCCUAGUAGUUAAGAAUUAACAUAGGCUUCUAAAAGGAAAGUUUUAGUUGGGCUUCUAGAAUAAGCUGGGUAGGGGGCAGCUUAUUCAGGAAGCCCGAAAAAGCUAGCAAAAGAACUGGCCCUGAAGCUCUCCUCGUCUUGAAAGAUUUACAGCCCAACAGGCCUGAUAAAGCGACUUACUUGGCAAAUCACAAAAAAACUGGGCUGUGGCCGUGGACCCAGCUGCGGCCGUGGACCCAGCUGUCAGCCUCUCCACGUACAGUACUCUUCCGAUGGAAGUCGGUCAUUGACCACAUUGACCACGCCGCGCCGAGAGCACCAAGGCGGUGGACGACGGCGAGGCCUAGGAAGGGGACGACGCGGAGCCGGGGAAGACACGGCAGUGGAUGCCCACGCGGAGAGGAGUACGAGGGUUCACUGGUUCGGCUGCGGUGUGAGGCUGCCGUCGCCGCAGGGCCUGGCUAGCGGUGGGAGUAGUAGGGGGCGGUGAGGCCUCAACGGCAGCACAACCGGCCACUAAAGGCAGGAGCAGGCGGUCUAGCCGGUGCUGGUUUGGGCAGCUGGUGCAAGAAGAGCAGCGAUUGAAGAAGCAGCAGGACCGUUCGAUUCAAAUCCAAUAGUUACUGUUGCUAGAAUCAUUUGUUGACUAAGUUGACAAGCCCUGCGUAUGCGUCAUCUUAGUAGGCCCAUAGGUCAGCCUCCCAACCGGUGCGCCCCAGAUGUCAGUGGGAGGAAUAAUUUUUUUCAGGUAAUAAGGAGGCAGUUGAUUGCGCAUGGCUAGGCCAGCGGAGGGAGUAGGGUGGGCCGGGGAAGCCUGCGCGGCAUCAGAACGGGCCACAAGAGGAGGAAGCAGGCAGUCCCGCCGGCGCUAGUUUAGGCGGCUGGAGCAGGAAGAUCAGAGAUUGAAGAAGCACGUCGGCCGUUGGAUGGACAUCCAACAGUCACUACUCCUAGAAUCGUGUGUUGACUGACAAAGCCUUGCGUGAACAAGUCAGCCUCGAAAUCUGUGGCGUGUACAACCCAUUCGCUAUUAUUUUUAUAAUUUUUACUCAUUUUCUAAUUCAUAUGGAAUUUAUUGCAGCCCGUUUUUCAUUUUUAGAAUUGCUGCCCAUUUUCUUGUCAGUACCAGGGUUAAAAAAUUAACUAAAUAUGUGGGAAAUUUUGAAAAUUCGCAAAUUUUUGCUGGGGAACAAAAUAUUCUUAAUCCAAAAAUUAGUAGCCAUACUAAAACAAAUUUAAAAAUAAAUUAGUACUAUGUCAUGUUAAAUCCAAUGAAAUACUCCCUCCGUCCCAAAAUUCUUGUCUUAGAUUUGUCUAAUUACGGAUGUAUCAAGUCACGUUUUGGUAUUAGAUACAUCCGUAUCUAGACUAAUCUAUGACAAGAAUUUUGGGACGGAGGGAGUAUAAGAUAUUAGUGAAGAACAAAAACAAAAAAAAGAAACUAAUAUCCCAUUUGCUAUAAUUUUUUUGGAAUUUUCAACCCCUUUUGAUACUACUUUUAACAGACAUUGACCAUACUCUUUGGCCAGGCCGGAAUGCAUCACUCCUCGUCUUGAAAGAUUUGCAGCCCAGUAAGUCGGAGAAAACAAAUAUGCCUAGCUUGGGUAUUCUUCAAAAAGAAAUGCUGGGCUACCUAUUUUCCCAAAGAAAAAACUGCUGGGCUGGUCAUGUUGUUAGACGGGCCACAGAGACCGCACAACCCAGUUUAUAGCCUGCUCCUCCGAAUUACCACUAAAAAAGUUGUGCAAUUCUAUCGUUAAUUGACUAUACGUUGAAAAUGAUGUGGGUCCCAGAUAUCAGCAGGGUGGAUUAGAGUAAAAAAACGAGGGGUUCAUCUGAGUAGUAAAAGAGGCGCUUGCUUGUGUUCGGGAGUGGACCUGGUGGGUCCGUACUAUCAUACUCACAACUACAGUCCUCUCCCGAUUCACUAUGUUGACAGGGACCAUUUCAAAAAAACUAUGUUGACAGGGCCGGACGGUGGUGCCGCGGCGAGCGCACCAAGGCAGAGGAUAAAGUGCUGUCGCCAAUGUGCUGGGCUGGGUUGGACAUUCUUAUUGAAAAAUAAAAAUGGACCGGAUCUAUUUACGACGUUGACUACGAUUUGCAUGGGUCCGCUGGUUGUAGGAAGAAAAUGCUGGGAGAAAGAAGACUGGUCGCUAUCUUUGCCGAAGAAUAAUAUCGACUAAAUGUAACAACACUAUCAUAGGAAAUAAUAUCCUCCUGUUAAAUCGUGAAUUUAAAGAACUGGUGCAUGAGCAUUUAGUUUUAUUUAUUUAUUUACUUAUUUAUGUUUAGGGGACCAUGAGCAUGUACCUAGGCCGGAUUCAUGUGAGAACCUCCCUUCCAGUUAAUUAUGGGCUUCUCUAUUGGGCCUUCAUCAGUGGGCUGCAUGUUAUCAACAAGUGGAAAAUGUGUUCCGUAUGAAAAAUAGUAUGCGCUACGUACGUUACGGGGCACUAAAGGAUCGAACCGUGCAACGACUUCCAAAACAUUGUGUUUAUCGUUCUAACAACACAUUUAUUCAACCAACAGACGAAAUAUACUACUGAUUAUACAUUGAAAACAGCAGCAGCAGCAACUAGGGCUGGGGGUGCAACAGAAGCAGUAAGGAGGCCAGAAGAGUGAAGACGUAGCUCUCUCUUCCAAACCAAACAUCAGCCAUCAUUACAAAAGGGCUACCAAAAAAGAACAAGUGUAUGCAUCAGACUAAAUAAAGAUCCUACUACACCAAGUGUACGCAUCUAACUAACUGGCUCAGUUAGACAUUACUAUUUAUUAAGCUGUGGAGAUUGGCUGACGGCUUGAACCAGAUGGGUGCCUGACGGGGGAAACUCCAGCCAGCAGGUCGAAGUCUGAUACUUGCGACCCUCUCUCCUACUUUGGGCUGCAGAGCGUGGAGGCACAUAUCAGGGUAUGGUGCAUGCAGAGACGCAUGGUACACUGUGUACACACAGUUUUGCCUGAUGAACGAAACCGCGCUGCCAUCAUGAUCCUUGCCGUCGGUUAUCUCCUGGUUAAUCGGAUAAUUUAGUCCGACAAACAAAGAGCGUGUACCAAGGCUACUUACCAACCUCCAGUCAAAUAUUCUUGAAGGCCCAGAGAAGCUGGGAUCCUGCUCAAAGACCUUGCAGUGACUGUGAUUGUAUUCCACGAAACAACACGUCCGGUACGUGCGAAUGAUCAUCAAUCAUUCGCCGUCGUCUGAUCGAGCCAGGAACCACCUGCAACUGCCAUGCCGCUUUUGUUUGAAAGGUUCUGGGAUUAGGAAGGGUAGGGACACCAGGCAGCCUACAACAUCAUAUCAAGUUGGAGUCAAAUAACCCUCAAAAAAAGUUGGAGUCGAAUAAAAAAGGGCUCUUGAUGUAGUCAAUCUUAAGAAUAGCAUGUUAUGAGCAUGAAUAUUUUUUCAGUAAAUGUUGACAGUAAUAUAAGCAAGCCAUCAUGAUAUCAUAGGAAAGUAACAUACUGCUGUAACAGCCAUUUGUAGCGAUGACUAGAGUAGGCCAGCAAUACGUCCAGCCAUAGAAGGAGUCAACAGCGUAAAUGAAGCCCUUGUGUUCAAUGGCAUCAGAGAACCAUGGAGGAUGUAUGAUCCUGCGAUGGACGUGCAGAUUUAUCCACUUACCGCAGUGACCUGUCAGAUAGGCGAGACCGCGGUUGAAGAACGCAAUUAGCCUGAAGUCUUUAUAAUUCGCAGAUCUUGUGGGCACUUGGCAGAUUACAACCUUGAGCAAAUCAAACUUGGUAUCAUGUUGGCUAUUGUAAGAUUUCGAGUAUUCUGGGCCGCGGUGCCAAAGUAGUGUAGUGUUAAUCGAAGGAAGGGGGAUCAAUCGCCGGGUGUAGACCUCCACGAGCAUCCAGCUGCCGCGACCGUCGACGAGCACCAUCCAAGACGUGUUCAUGCCGACCCAGUACAUACCGUUAAUGUAGUUGAGGGUGACGGGGAUCGGAUCGCAGUCAAGGGGGUUGAUGCUCGCCACCCUACGAUCGUUAUGCUGCGUGACACACCGUUUCUGAAGAUCAGGCGACAUCAGCAAGCAAGGAGCUGGCUUAAAAAGCUCCGGCCUGAGGGCUUUGAGUAAACGGUACAGCCCCGACGAGCACGCGGCGAGCGGCAUGGUACUGAGAUUGUCCACACGCGAAACAAUGAGCUUGAUUACCUCUGUGGGGAGCGAAUUCCAGCCACUCUUUCGGCGGACGCUGCUCGGUUCUGCCAUUGUUAGUGCUUGGGUUUCGGANNNNNNNNNNNNNNNNNNNNNNNNNNNNNNNNNNNNNNNNNNNNNNNNNNNNNNNNNNNNNNNNNNNNNNNNNNNNNNNNNNNNNNNNNNNNNNNNNNNNNNNNNNNNNNNNNNNNNNNNNNNNNNNNNNNNNNNNNNNNNNNNNNNNNNNNNNNNNNNNNNNNNNNNNNNNNNNNNNNNNNNNNNNNNNNNNNNNNNNNNNNNNNNNNNNNNNNNNNNNNNNNNNNNNNNNNNNNNNNNNNNNNNNNNNNNNNNNNNNNNNNNNNNNNNNNNNNNNNNNNNNNNNNNNNNNNNNNNNNNNNNNNNNNNNNNNNNNNNNNNNNNNNNNNNNNNNNNNNNNNNNNNNNNNNNNNNNNNNNNNNNNNNNNNNNNNNNNNNNNNNNNNNNNNNNNNNNNNNNNNNNNNNNNNNNNNNNNNNNNNNNNNNNNNNNNNNNNNNNNNNNNNNNNNNNNNNNNNNNNNNNNNNNNNNNNNNNGGGAAGGCGCCUUAGCGGGGAUGGAAGAGCGGACAAAGAUGGAGAAGCGAAUAUGUGCUGCGGGAAGUGGACAGGUGAUGAUGACUACAUCAUGCCGCUUGACUUACGAGGCACAUACCAGCAGCGUAGGGUCAUAUCGAAGUCAGACAACUUGCUUGAGUGAUCACAGUACUGGUACUCCCUACGGUAUCUACUACUAUGCCCUAACUUGCUUGAGUAGAGUAGUAGUGGAGUAGGACUCUGCUCUACUACUAGCACCGGAGGAGUAGUAUGUUCUAAUCUAAAAUAGUUACAAACUUCAAUGCCCGAGCGUGGAACGACUACGAACCGCCAUCGGUGCUAACUCCAAUCCCCAGCAAACGUUCUCUGGGAGACACGGCAGUUGCAAACGCCCGCGACGCAGUUACAGUACGUGUGUAAGGGUGGCGAUUUUGUCAAAUACUAUGGCUUAAAAACAGGCUACCGUCGGAUGGAAAUCUGACGGUUACGUGGGAUUCGCCAGGAUUGAGUUGCCGAACAAUCGCCAGAUAUCAUUAUAAAAAAAAGGUUAAAACAUCCGGGGCUAUAACUUGCACCGGCUGACCACUAACAAUGAUACUAACAUAGUUGUAAAAUGGUCAAAGACCGUGUCUACGUGGUGUUUGGAAUUACACGCAAAAAAAUUAGCAAGAUGCCCGUGCAUUGCACGGAACAUCAAGAUGCAUUUUUUUACAAAACACCUGUUGUGAU